CUACAGGCUUAACACAUGCAAGUCGAGGGGCAGCAUGGUCUUAGCUUGCUAAGGCCGAUGGCGACCGGCGCACGGGUGAGUAACACGUAUCCAACCUGCCGUCUACUCUUGGACAGCCUUCUGAAAGGAAGAUUAAUACAAGAUGGCAUCAUGAGUUCACAUGUUCACAUGAUUAAAGGUAUUCCGGUAGACGAUGGGGAUGCGUUCCAUUAGAUAGUAGGCGGGGUAACGGCCCACCUAGUCUUCGAUGGAUAGGGGUUCUGAGAGGAAGGUCCCCCACAUUGGAACUGAGACACGGUCCAAACUCCUACGGGAGGCAGCAGUGAGGAAUAUUGGUCAAUGGGCGCAGGCCUGAACCAGCCAAGUAGCGUGCAGGAUGACGGCCCUAUGGGUUGUAAACUGCUUUUAUAAGGGAAUAAAGUGGGAGUCGUGACUCUUUUUGCAUGUACCUUAUGAAUAAGGACCGGCUAAUUCCGUG
rnacentral:rRNA from 1 species